AGAGAAGAUUUAUUUAUUUGAGUUAAAUAAAAUUAUACUAAUGAUGGAUUAAUUUUAGGUUUCAGUAUUUUUAAUUAAAAAUAAUUAUUUAAUUUAUAAUUAUAGUAAUGUAAAUGAAUAUUUAUAAUUUAAUAUAAGUAAUUUUAUUUUAAUGUACCUUUUGUAUCAGGGAUUAUUUAAAUUGUUUUUUAUUAUUUAAUAUUUUUCGAAGAGAAAAGAGUUAAAUAAUUAUGAAAUUUAAUGUUAAAUAAUUAUUUUUAAUAUUUAUUUAGUGGAGAUAUUCUAUUCAAUUUUUUGGAUAUCUAUUUUUUUUUGAUAUAAAUUUAAUUUAUAUAUAAAUCUUAUUAUUUUAAUAAUUUAAACAUUAAAUUAAUUGAUUUAUAUAAAAAAUUUAUGGGAUAAUCUAUAAGUUAUAUUUAAAAUAAUUAAUUAUGUAUUUUAAUGAUAAAAGUAUUUUUAAGAUUAAAAUUUUUUUGUGAGUAUUUAAUAAUUCAUAAGGUGGUUUUAUAUUUUAAAUUAAGGAUUUUAUUUUUAUAUUUAAUUUUAUAGGAAAAUAUUUUUUAAAAAUUAAAUUUAAUAAGAAAUAAUGAUAAUAUUAGUAUUAUUUUAUUAAAUUUAUAUUAUUAAUAAUAUAUUUUUAAGUAUUUUUAAGGAAUUAGGCAAAAUUAAGUUUAUUAUUAAUUUAAUUAAUAUAUUUAUAAUAAGAUUAAGUUCACCUGUAUAAUAAAAACAUGGUUUUAAGUUAAAUAAUUUAAGAUUUGUUCUGCUCAAUGAUUUUUAAUUAAAUAGCUGCAGUAUUUUUGACUGUACAAAGGUAGCAUAAUCAAUUGUCUUUUUAAUGGGGACUUGUAUGAAGGAAUGGAUGAGAUUUAGGCUGUCUCAAUAUUAUAAUAAAAAUUUAUAUUUUAAGUUAAAAUACUUAGAUAGAAUUAUGGGACGAGAAGACCCCAUAGAAUUUUAUAUAAAUUAAUUUUUUUUUAUUUUUAAAAUUUUUUAUAAAAUUAUUUAUAUUUUAUUGGGAGGAUAAUUAAAUUUAAUAAACUUUUUUUAAAAUUUUAAUAUUUAUUUUUUAAUAUGAAUUAAAUUAUUUUUAAAUAAUAAAUAUUUUAAACAUUAAUUAAUGAUUUAUUUAAUGAAUAGAUAAUGAUAUUUUUAUUUAUAAUUAGAAUUAAUUACCUUGGGGAUAACAGCGUAAUAUUUAUUUUAAGUUCUUAUUGGUAUAAAUGAUUGCGACCUCGAUGUUGAAUUAAAAUAAAAAUUAGGUGAAGAAGCUUAAUUAUUAAGUCUGUUCGACUAUUUAAAUUUUACAUGAUUUGAGUUUAGAUCGGUGUAAGCCAGAUCGGUUUCUAUCUAUAAUUAAUUUAUUUAAUUUUGUACGAAAGGACUUUUUAUAUAAAAUAAUUUUUAAUAAAAGAGUAUUAAUUAAUUUUAAUUUUUAGA
rnacentral:rRNA from 1 species